AGAAGGGAAGGCACAACAGGAGGGAGCGGCGGCGGGAGCGAGCGCGCAGUCGUUAGUUAGCUUGUUAGUGUCGCGUUGGUAGUGCGUCCGAGUAGAACACACGGGGACAACACCAGAACACAACAGCAGCACACAACUCAGCCGCCGCGUUCCCGUCCGAGAGCGAGGCGCUGCUGACACUUUUUUUUUAGUGAGCUAGACAAAAGCAUCAGUCGUAGAGAGGCUCCCUCGCCGCUGCCGUUCCGCCGACAAGUUUUUUUCGUACAGUAAACUAGUGUGUCGUUUGUUGUUUUAUGUGUGUCGUUUUGUUCCGGUAGUCGUCGCCGUUCGUUUGUUACCUAGUCGUAGUUAGUGGUGUUGAGUGGGCCGCAGCAGACAGCGGCCGGCAGCUGGGAGGCGUGCACAACAAACACACCCCUCGCUCAGCUUCGACUCGACGGAGGAACAAGAAGACAGCCGACAGCACAGCAGCGGAGGCGUCGCAACGCAAACAGGCCGACAGAUGAUGGAAUCCCAGGCGCAGGAGACGGUGGCAGGGGGCUCGCCCGCGGAGGUGCCCAACGACCCCGGGAAGAUGUUCAUCGGCGGCCUCAGCUGGCAGACUAGUCCAGGUAAGAGCCAAGCGGACCAGAGAUGGUAACGUUGUACGGCAAGAAAGGUAGUAACAACGAAUAUAAUACAAUGGUUAGAAAAAGUCUACAGUUACUUCAAGGUUCUAACGUUAAUGCGUUUAGGAAUUGUCUAUGUAGAUACGAUGUUUUCAACAGCAAUGAAACCUAUUGUAACAACCUGUUUAUCUUCUUCGGUGGCUACACAUGAUGGCGAUAGUAUAUCUGUACCGGGGUCCAUGCUUUGCCGACAUUGUCACAAAAUAAAAAUUACUCAUAAAAUAUUUCUUGCACCUUAAUAUAAGCAACCCAACUUACACGAUCCUCCCAGUGUGUGGGUACGAUGUGAGCUGGGUUGCUUAACUUAAGGUAUAUGUAAUAUUUUGGGGACCGAGUUUACUUUAGCUACCCUAUAUACGCGAUCCCAUUAUGUAAAACGAACAUUACCUCAAUUCCAGGGAGAACGUUUUAAUUAGUGGACCCAGAUCAACUUUCUACAGCACUGCAUUAGUAAAACAUUUUUCGACAAGCGUUGUCAACUUCACUUCCACGUGCAAGACAGUGUCAAAAAAAUCACCAGUACAGCAUUACUGAUCACUGCCCUGUGGCAGUCUGACCGCACCAACAUCAACCCUAAGAUCAGAACAACGCACAGGAAACAUAGAACGCUAACGAUCUCCGUUUCAUAUUUAGCUCCCUUCUCUCUACUUCAUUGGUAACCUCAGCAUAUAAAAACAAAAGCUGUGGUUGACAGUUGGAAGAAUUCACAUGAAAAUUAAGCACUUCAGUUUCCCCAGAAGCCGUUACUCGCACUUACAAAAAAUAGCCAAAUCCUUUUCUUCGGCCAUCAUCUCCUCCAUCGAACUCUUUUCCGAAGGUAUUUGUCUGGACAAGAGAGUAGAUACUUUUUACUUUAACUUAAUAAUAAAUGAGAACUAUAAUACAAAUAGCCUCAAACAAUGGAUACAAAAAGAACUUAGUAACAAAGCUGAACAAAAAAAUCAAGAAACAGAAAAGAAUAAACACCCAGCUUUCACCAACACGAGGAAAAAUCACACAUAAAAAAUACACAAAAUACAAGAAUAGAAACAAAAAAGUGUGAAAGAAACAGAAAGUAGGUACACAAUGACAUAUAACCGCAAAUACACACACACAGAAUAUCCAGUAUUUUCAAAAAACAGGGCAUGAAAAUAGCACACCAAACAACUCAGUUCAGAAAUACUUCCCAAAAACAAUAGGAAAAACUGAUCUAUAUCAUAAAUCAGGAAUAUACCAACUGAAAUCCAAUAAAUGUGAUGGAAGACACAUAGGUCAAACAAGGACAACAUUUGACACCAGAUAGAAAGAACACGUAAGAGCAUGGAAGUAUAGGACAAAUCAUUCAACUUUUUGC